UAAAAAUCUCAGAGAGAAUACUCGACGUCUAUAUAUUUUGACCGAUACUUCCGAACAGUCUACUGGACAACCCACAUACCUGCGCUGAGACGAAAAAUGCUAACAAUGCUCGACGCGAUAAUGUGAUGAAGAUGGCGAAAAGUUUCACCUUCGUGUUUACCUAGACUUUGAGGACACACUAGAUAGCUACGACUGGUCUUCAAAAAAAUAGGUUUGGAUGGGCACUCAGUGAGAUUCGUGAACUUCCUUUCAGAAAACAGAGUAAUAUUAGCUGAUUUAGUGUGUUCAACCUUAUAAAGGUAAAAUCAGUCCUCUUAUCCUUCUUUGGUGCCUCAAUGUUAAUAUGUGGCAUAUGCUGAUGACAGCGACUGGAAAACACCACCAAUUAGUAGCUGAUGCAGUGAUUGCGAGGCCAAUGACUUAAAUAUAUAUAGCAGGAGAGAUAGAACCGCUCUCUGCUCAUGGAAAACGGCUAAGGCAAUAUUACUUACUGGUUAUUCAAAGCGGUUGUAAGAUCCAAAUGAUUCUAAGCAGACAGAGUCUGGUGGCCGAUACUUUUAGGAGUAACAUGUACAAAGCCCGGUGGAAGAAAAAUUUUAAACGAAGUCGUGGCGAUAUGCGAAACGUUCGUGGCGAAACGUAUGAGGCUGACGAUCUAGAAGUGUAGCGUGCAAACCAAAGGAAAUUCUCUAUAGACGCUUAUAUAUAUAUAUAUAUAUCUGUCAUCAGCUAAUUACCAACUAAGAUCAGCCCCGGCGUGGAUACAAAACAGUUACAUGCCAUGUUUCGGGGCAGAUCUUGCCAUAGAUGGAAAUGAAGCAAAUAAGUUCUGUACUUCUGCUUACUUUUAUUAUUAUAGCAUAACAACCGGUUUAAUAACCGUAUACUGAUACUGGUAGGAGAUUCCCUAUAGCUGAUAGAUAUUCUGCUAAAGCUUCCGGGACAAAACCAAGAUGGAGUCAGUGCAAGAUUACUUUUUGCUCGAUUUUUUUAUUCUUCUUUUGACCUUGUGAUAACUGUGUCAGCUUCUGGACAGCUGAAACUGUCAUUAAUUUUCAGUCACCGUGUUUUUGAAUUUUUGAUUAUCUAAACACGGAGGUAUCAAGCGCUCGUUUCGUCGAAAAUAGAAUUGCGCUGAAUAUCAAUGGAUGACAUUGAAUAAUUUUAUACAUUUUCAUAGGCGUAUUAACAUUUGAGAAAUAAAUUUCAAAAACAAUUUACACCACCAUUUCGAUGGAAUUGCCCAUGCACUAAUUUAUAAAUUACACAGGCAUACGCAUUAAUCAGCAACUGAAAGGCAAUUGCACUGCCGCUGCUGUGUUGCUGCUAUUACGGCAGUAAACAAAGUCAUUUAAAAUUGAAAUAUGGGAGCACAAUGCGUGAAAAAACACAUACACAUGCAUAUGUAUGCAUGUAUGUACAACGAAUAUGCCAUAAAUUAUGACAGCAAUUAUUAUUACUGUUGUUUGGGGUUAUCAAAAUGUAAUAAAUCAGUUUGUAUUGCUGACACAUGAGUUAAAAUUGCUUAAUAUUUAUAUACAGCUGUACAUACGUAUGUAUGCAUGUAUAUAUAUAUAUAUGUAAGUGUAAAGAGAGGCGAGCAAAAAAAUCACGAAAUCAACAAGCAUACAACAAAGUAUCUACGCAAACAUGCCUUAGUUGAUACACAUGGGUAAAUAUGUAAGUGUGUAAACAUAAAUAAAUACUAGCAAAUAUUUAAAAAUCUCAAGACAAGUUAAAGUAUGUAAAUACACGUACAUAGAAUUUUACUUUUAGUACUUCAUGUUACCAAACGACGGCGUAUGCUUAACUUUACGUUCUACAUCACACCAAAAAAAAGGGGGCGCAUUGCGACAAUCAGUCUGUUGAAUGCGCCUCAUGAGACAUACAUAUGUAUGUACUUAUGCGGUUUAUCGCAUUGUAAAUUAACUGUAAAAUGAAUUUAUAUUUUCAACACAAAAUUUAUUGUAACUACGAAAUCACAAAUCCAUGGCAUUAAAUAUUA